rnacentral:lncRNA from 1 species
AUGCAGGUAUCACCCCAGAGAAUAAGGCAUACAAUAAAACAGAAUGUAAUCGUAGAAUCAACGCUUCCAUUGAUCAGCCUCGAUCCUUUAGAUAAACUCUCUGUUGGCAUACAAAUAGAAAGUACAGGUAAAAAUAUAAAUGCUUCCAUAAUAAUUUCCGAAUGGUGUUUAUAAAUAGCUCGUUCAGCAUACUACGAUUUUUGAAAGUUGUAUUUACUGGUACAGAUUUCUUUUUUAAAUAAUAGUAUGUUAUACAUAAUAAAACAAGUUCUAUGGUCCCGGUAACAAAACAUCAUUGUUCUACAUGUUGUUGAUACUUACUAAUAUUUUGGCAUUGCAAAGAGCAACGGUUAUGUCUGGAAACUCAUUGCACUAUUGCAUUAGAAGUGUUCUAAUCUAUAUCUGUGUCAGGACAACUGCAAACAUGUUGGUGAUUAUUAGUUGAAAUUGAACGUUACAUUCGUUUUUAAGAACAUAUGCACAGCGGUAUACUACUGUUGUCUUUAUGUAUUUGCAUUCAGUGUAAAGAGUAUAAUACGCUAAGAUUGUCUGUUUAUGUCUAUUUGUUUUUUUGUUUUUGUACAGAUCCGGUAAGUCAGUGCUCACCCUACUAAUUUUAAAGUUUGUCUUUUCUGGUGUUGUAACAGCGUUGUCUUAGGUCAGGAGUAGGGUCAUGCCCUUACAAACGCAUUUAGCACUACUAUAAUUAAGUUAUGCGUGCCGUGUAUCAAUCCAGGUGCUUAUUAUCUAAUGGUUGUCACUAGUUGCAAUUUGCCAUGUUGUUUUCAUGAUUAAUAUGUUUUAAUGAGUUUCUUUAGUAAAGUGUACCCACAGACCUCCACAUAUGGUAAGACUUAUUUGAUGUAGGCAUUAAGAGAUCCGCAUUUGAUCAUUGAAUGAAUACAGGAACUAUAAAAACAAAUUAUCGUUUAUUAUCAUUCUAGGUCGUAAUGUUACAAAGUGCGCUUACAGUUUUGAAUUAGAUUCCUCAACAGGAAAGUACACAACUAAAAUACCUGUCCAUAUAACACCACACUCUUUUUACAUGUUAUCUGACACAUUAAUAUUUCAACGACUAAAGAAUCUGAAUUACCCGAUGUUUUAUGAUUACAGUCUACCGAUCGUCCACAU